GCCCCUGUAGCUCAGGGGAUAGAGCACCGGCCUCCGAAGCCGGUUGCGAGGGUUCAAAUCCCUCCAGGGGCA
rnacentral:tRNA from 1 species